GCCCGGGUGGUGGAAUGGUAGACACGAGGGACUUAAAAUCCCUUGAGGGCAACCUCGUGUGGGUUCGAUACCCACCCCGGGCACCA
rnacentral:tRNA from 1 species